rnacentral:rRNA from 1 species
UACGUAGGGACCAAGCGUUGUUCGGAUUUACUGGGCGUAAAGGGCGCGUAGGCGGCAUGACAAGUCACUUGUGAAAUCUCCGGGCUUAACUCGGAACGGCCAAGUGAUACUGUCGCGCUAGAGUGCAGAAGGGGCAAUCGGAAUUCUUGGUGUAGCGGUGAAAUGCGUAGAUAUCAAGAGGAACACCUGAGGUGAAGACGGGUUGCUGGGCUGACACUGACGCUGAGGCGCGAAAGCUAGGGGAGCGAACAGG